UUAAUCGGGGCAGGGUGAGUCGACCCCUAAGGCGAGGCCGAAAGGCGUAGUCGAUGGGAAACGGGUUAAUAUUCCCGUACUUGGUGUUACUGCGAAGGGGGGACGGAGAAGGCUAUGUUGGCCGGGCGACGGUUGUCCCGGUUUAAGCGUGUAGGUGUGUGUUCCAGGUAAAUCCGGUUCACUUUAACACUGAGGCGUGAUGACGAGGCACUACGGUGCUGAAGCAACAAAUGCCCUGCUUCCAGGAAAAGCCUCUAAGCAUCAGGUAACAUCAAAUCGUACCCCAAACCGACACAGGUGGUCAGGUAGAGAAUACCAAGGCGCUUGAGAGAACUCGGGUGAAGGAACUAGGCAAAAUGGUGCCGUAACUUCGGGAGAAGGCACGCUGACACGUAGGUGAAGUGAUUUACUCAUGGAGCUGAAGUCAGUCGAAGAUACCAGCUGGCUGCAACUGUUUAUUAAAAACACAGCACUGUGCAAACACGAAAGUGGACGUAUACGGUGUGACGCCUGCCCGGUGCCGGAAGGUUAAUUGAUGGGGUCAGCGCAAGCGAAGCUCCUGAUCGAAGCCCCGGUAAACGGCGGCCGUAACUAUAACGGUCCUAAGGUAGCGAAAUUCCUUGUCGGGUAAGUUCCGACCUGCACGAAUGGCGUAAUGAUGGCCAGGCUGUCUCCACCCGAGACUCAGUGAAAUUGAACUCGCUGUGAAGAUGCAGUGUACCCGCGGCAAGACGGAAAGACCCCGUGAACCUUUACUAUAGCUUGACACUGAACAUUGAGCCUUGAUGUGUAGGAUAGGUGGGAGGCUUUGAAGUGUGGACGCCAGUCUGCAUGGAGCCGGCCUUGAAAUACCACCCUUUAAUGUUUGAUGUUCUAACGUGGACCCGUGAUCCGGGUUGCGGACAGUGUCUGGUGGGUAGUUUGACUGGGGCGGUCUCCUCCUAAAGAGUAACGGAGGAGCACGAAGGUUGGCUAAUCCUGGUCGGACAUCAGGAGGUUAGUGCAAUGGCAUAAGCCAGCUUGACUGCGAGCGUGACGGCGCGAGCAGGUGCGAAAGCAGGUCAUAGUGAUCCGGUGGUUCUGAAUGGAAGGGCCAUCGCUCAACGGAUAAAAGGUACUCCGGGGAUAACAGGCUGAUACCGCCCAAGAGUUCAUAUCGACGGCGGUGUUUGGCACCUCGAUGUCGGCUCAUCACAUCCUGGGGCUGAAGUAGGUCCCAAGGGUAUGGCUGUUCGCCAUUUAAAGUGGUACGCGAGCUGGGUUUAGAACGUCGUGAGACAGUUCGGUCCCUAUCUGCCGUGGGCGCUGGAGAACUGAGGGGGGCUGCUCCUAGUACGAGAGGACCGGAGUGGACGCAUCACUGGUGUUCGGGUUGUCAUGCCAAUGGCACUGCCCGGUAGCUAAAUGCGGAAGAGAUAAGUGCUGAAAGCAUCUAAGCACGAAACUUGCCCCGAGAUGAGUUCUCCCUGAGACUUAGAGUCUCCUGAAGGAACGUUGAAGACGACGACGUUGAUAGGCCGGGUGUGUAAGCGCAGCGAUGCGUUGAGCUAACCGGUACUAAUGAACCGUGAGGCUUAACCUUACA
rnacentral:rRNA from 1 species